rnacentral:ribozyme from 13 species
GAAAAGGAAAAGAGAAAAGAAAGAAGAAGGAAAGGAAGAGAAAGAUUAUGUGAGAAAGAUUAUUGCAAUUUUCUUUUCUUUCUUUCUUCUUGUUUGCUUUUCUUUCUUUAUCU